ACGGGUGAGUAACGCGUGGGAAUCUACCCAUCUCUACGGAAUAACGCAUGGAAACGUGUGCUAAUACCGUAUACGUCCUUCGGGAGAAAGAUUUAUCGGAGAUGGAUGAGCCCGCGUUGGAUUAGCUAGUUGGUGGGGUAAAGGCCUACCAAGGCGACGAUCCAUAGCUGGUCUGAGAGGAUGAUCAGCCACACUGGGACUGAGACACGGCCCAGACUCCUACGGGAGGCAGCAGUGGGGAAUAUUGGACAAUGGGCGCAAGCCUGAUCCAGCCAUGCCGCGUGAGUGAUGAAGGCCCUAGGGUUGUAAAGCUCUUUCACCGGUGAAGAUAAUGACGGUAACCGGAGAAGAAGCCCCGGCUAACUUCGUGCCAGCAGCCGCGGUAAUACGAAGGGGGCUAGCGUUGUUCGGAUUUACUGGGCGUAAAGCGCACGCAGGCGGACUAUUAAGUCAGGGGUGAAAUCCCGGGGCUCAACCCCGGAACUGCCUUUGAUACUGGUAGUCUUGAGUUCGAGAGAGGUGAGUGGAAUUCCGAGUGUAGAGGUGAAAUUCGUAGA
rnacentral:rRNA from 1 species